GGGCUCUCUAAAAAAGAGUACGUAAAGAUACGUUCAUUUACGCUCCCUUUCAUUUAUUUGAAAGGGAGCUUUCUUAUUUU
rfam:Bacillus pumilus S-1 contig000033, whole genome shotgun sequence.